AUCUCCCCGAGCGAGCCGUGCAGGAGCAACAGACUGCAGAGCAAUGCAGGAAACAUGCCGUUAUCUUUAAGUCUGACAGAUGUCGGGAUUUUGCAGGCGACUUCAGGUGGAAAAGUAAAAGUGCGUUUGGGACAGGUGUCCAUCUUUCAAGCGGUUGUCUCAUCGAAGCGAAUUUAACAGUGGAGCUGGAGAAUGUUUCCAUUGCUCACGCUGGACUGUAAUUGAAAGGAACAGAGAAAAGGAUCAUCUGGACUUGCUAACACCCAAGACGAGAACUUGGAUUGAUGAGAUGAAAGAGGAAAGCACUGAACGUGGGGUAAACGUGGUCACCCUGGACCAGAAAUGGGCCUGAUUUCACCACAGCGGAGUUGGUUGCACAUCACAACAGCAGUUUGGCAGAAAUGACAAAGCUGGUGUCACUCUUCAACCCUGGAGAAUCCAGAAUAUGUUCCAGUGCCUCAACAACUCAAGUAAGUCAAUUCAGGAUUAAGCUAAGACGAUUGUUUACGAUGUUUUUACUGAGUUGUUAGGCUACCAGAAUAUAGCCUUUCAGUGAGAUCUUUACUUCUUCGAAAACAUUUAACUUUAAGGAGGGAUAAUUAAACAAACUAAUAAGGAAAUGGCUUAAAGUGUUACGCAUCACUCCCUAAAAAUGUGCUAAAUCAUUAUGAGCCUUUCAUGUUGAGGUCUCAUUAGUUUGUCUCUGAAAUCUGUUACGUCUCGGUCUCAGACGACAUGCUCACAUUACUGACCACCUGAUGUGCUCUGCAAAUGAAAACUGGAAAGCAAGAAAAUGACGAGCUGCAGUUAGAUUCCUCGACAGCAACAUAACUUUUGGGAGUUUGUUUCCACACGGACACAAAAAAAGGCUACAGGAUGAUGCUUGUGAAGUUAAAUAAACGCUAGAUUUGAAGUUUUGCAUAAAACGAUGAAUACUUUUACUUUGGGGUGCACAGAUAUUCCAAUCACAUAUUGAGUGCUGCAGUGAUAACAUAUUUUUGUAGGCCAACCCAUAACAAAAAAAAAACAUAAAAAAAAAUUCCAUCAGCUUUGGAUUAUUGCAGAAGAGAAACCCUGUGACUAAUAAAGGUUUAUGAUUCUAACACAUUUUGUUCAUUAUGAUAAUCUUCGCAAAUGAACAGCUUUUAUGAAUUCUGAAGCCUAAAUACAAAUCACAGUCAAAUGACUUUGAUAUCACGACUAUUACGUUUCCGACAACUCUGCAGUCUUUAUUUAAAAAAUCAUUUCCCUGAAAGUUUGAGUUAGAAAAAAUAAAAAACUCAAGUAUAAACACAUUGAGGUUGAAAAAGUCACCUAGCGAGUAGAUGAGUUUUCCUGUUUGCCAUUUAAUGCCCCCAACAACCCCGGUAGUCUCAUUUAGCUACUUGUUAGCAGCCAUUUUUCAAGACAAGUAAAAGCUUUAAAAGAUCAUGAUGAGGUAUAAUUGAUGUUUUUGAUGUUGUUUAAUAGAACAUGAAAAUAGCUUGCGCUUAUGUUAACCACAGACCUUAUUUCAGUCAUUUAACCAAAAACCCAUAAAAAAAAAAAAACACUGACUUCAGGACCUCGGGACCGAAAGUGCUUUAAUCCUAAUUCUUUUUUGGGAUUUGGCCUACAAAAAUGCAUCAGCUCUGCAGCACUUCAUUCCGACACAUUUGCAUUCUGUACAGUCAUUUAUUUUAUGUUUUCUUUAUUAAUAUAUACAGAGAUUGCUUAGCCUGUGAUAAUAGUAUCAUCCUUUACAGAUUUGCCCGCCCCCUUAAACAUGUAAAAACAAAACAAACCACAGUUGGUUGCUUCACAUGUCAGAAAAGCAGGCAUUUCGUGAUCAGAAUAAUCUGCGAAGUCGACCAGACUUGCCUCAAGUCAAAAAUCUGACAGUGAUGUGCCCUAAAUGAUGUCAUUUCAAAUAUGAAAAAGUUGUAUCAUGACAUAUUUAAGACUCGAGCAGUCUUAAUAUUUGAAUAGUGCAUGUAAGUCAUGGAUAUGGCACUUACAUUUAUUCUGCACAAUGGGAGGCCUUGUAUAGUUUCCAAUGUUGACAUAGCAGUAUGUGGGAAAUCUGCUGAUGGUGUUAACAUUGAUCUAGGGUUCCUGAGGGGCAUACAUUUAUAUACAGUGUGGUCCAAAAGUCUGAGACCAAUACUGAAAUGCUUCGGUUUUGCAUUUACAUCAUUUCUCAUUGCAAAUUAUGGUAUGAGCAUAACAAGUCAAGUGAAAAGUUUGAGUGAAAAGUCUUAGGUUUUCAACUGGUCUUUACCCUGUAUUUUUGGUAAGGACAAUGGUGUGAAACUCUUGUCGUUGGGCAAGACAAAUGUAUGCAUCAAAAAAAUAUUGUACUGAAUAUGAAAUGUCUGUUUUAGCCAACAAGCAUUGUAGUUCUCAAAGGUGUCUUAUGAUGUGAUUUCAAGUUUUCCUUUCUCUUUAAAGUGUUACAAGCUGUUCGUGAAUAGAUAAAAUCCCUAAAGUUGCAAAGACUAAAGUCUCAAACCCAAAGAGGUAUUCUUUAUAAAAGUUAAGAGUCGUCCGCACCCUCAUAAAACAGCUCAUUUAAACAUGCCCCCACAUGUCUACGUCACUAUGUGGGAAGAUUUGCAUAACGCUUGCCCAAAUGUGCACUCAAAGAAAGAAGGUGUUACUUUGAUUCUCGCUGUUGCCGCCGGCACC